UACGAAGGGGGCUAGCGUUGCUCGGAAUCACUGGGCGUAAAGCGCGCGUAGGCGGCUUUGUAAGUUAGAGGUGAAAGCCCGGGGCUCAACCCCGGAACUGCCUUUAAAACUGCAUCGCUUGAAUCCGGGAGAGGUGAGUGGAAUUCCGAGUGUAGAGGUGAAAUUCGUAGAUAUUCGGAAGAACACCAGUGGCGAAGGCGGCUCACUGGACCGGCAUUGACGCUGAGGUGCGAAAGCGUGGGGAGCAAACAGG
rnacentral:rRNA from 1 species